rnacentral:rRNA from 1 species
GACAGAGGGUGCAAACGUUGUUCGGAAUUACUGGGCGUAAAGCGCGUGUAGGCUGCUUCGCAAAUCGGAUGUGAAAGCCCUGGGCUCAACCCAGGAAGUGCAUUCGAAACUGCAGAGCUGGAGUCCUGGAGAGGAAGGCGGAAUUCUCGGUGUAGAGGUGAAAUUCGUAGAUAUCGAGAGGAACACCGGUGGCGAAGGCGGCCUUCUGGACAGUGACUGACGCUGAGACGCGAAAGCGUGGGGAGCAAACAGG